rnacentral:rRNA from 1 species
GAUGAACGCUGGCGGCGUGCCUAAUACAUGCAAGUCGAGCGAACGGACGAGAAGCUUGCUUCUCUGAUGUUAGCGGCGGACGGGUGAGUAACACGUGGAUAACCUACCUAUAAGACUGGGAUAACUUCGGGAAACCGGAGCUAAUACCGGAUAAUAUUUUGAACCGCAUGGUUCAAAAGUGAAAGACGGUCUUGCUGUCACUUAUAGAUGGAUCCGCGCUGCAUUAGCUAGUUGGUAAGGUAACGGCUUACCAAGGCAACGAUGCAUAGCCGACCUGAGAGGGUGAUCGGCCACACUGGAACUGGGACACGGUCCAGACUCCUACGGGAGGCAGCAGUAGGGAAUCUUCCGCAAUGGGCGAAAGCCUGACGGAGCAACGCCGCGUGAGUGAUGAAGGUCUUCGGAUCGUAAAACUCUGUUAUUAGGGAAGAACAUAUGUGUAAGUAACUGUGCACAUCUUGACGGUACCUAAUCAGAAAGCCACGGCUAACUACGUGCCAGCAGCCGCGGUAAUACGUAGGUGGCAAGCGUUAUCCGGAAUUAUUGGGCGUAAAGCGCGCGUAGGCGGUUUUUUAAGUCUGAUGUGAAAGCCCACGGCUCAACCGUGGAGGGUCAUUGGAAACUGGAAAACUUGAGUGCAGAAGAGGAAAGUGGAAUUCCAUGUGUAGCGGUGAAAUGCGCAGAGAUAUGGAGGAACACCAGUGGCGAAGGCGACUUUCUGGUCUGUAACUGACGCUGAUGUGCGAAAGCGUGGGGAUCAAACAGGAUUAGAUACCCUGGUAGUCCACGCCGUAAACGAUGAGUGCUAAGUGUUAGGGGGUUUCCGCCCCUUAGUGCUGCAGCUAACGCAUUAAGCACUCCGCCUGGGGAGUACGACCGCAAGGUUGAAACUCAAAGGAAUUGGCGGGGACCCGCACAAGCGGUGGAGCAUGUGGUUUAAUUCGAAGCAACGCGAAGAACCUUACCAAAUCUUGACAUCCUUUGACAACUCUAGAGAUAGAGCUUUCCCCUUCGGGGGACAAAGUGACAGGUGGUGCAUGGUUGUCGUCAGCUCGUGUCGUGAGAUGUUGGGUUAAGUCCCGCAACGAGCGCAACCCCUAAGCUUAGUUGCCAUCAUUAAGUUGGGCACUCUAAGUUGACUGCCGGUGACAAACCGGAGGAAGGUGGGGAUGACGUCAAAUCAUCAUGCCCCUUAUGAUUUGGGCUACACACGUGCUACAAUGGACAAUACAAAGGGCAGCGAAACCGCGAGGUCAAGCAAAUCCCAUAAAGUUGUUCUCAGUUCGGAUUGUAGUCUGCAACUCGACUACAUGAAGCUGGAAUCGCUAGUAAUCGUAGAUCAGCAUGCUGCGGUGAAUACGUUCCCGGGUCU